rnacentral:rRNA from 1 species
UACGUAGGGUGCAAGCGUUGUCCGGAAUUAUUGGGCGUAAAGAGCUCGUAGGCGGCUUGUCGCGUCGGCUGUGAAACCUGGGGCUCAACCCCGGGCCUGCAGCCGAUACGGGCAAACUAGAAUUCGGUAGGGAGACUGGAAUCCUGGUGUAGCGGUGAAAUGCGCAGAUAUCGGGAGGAACACCGGUGGCGAAGGCGGUUCUCUGGGCCUUACCUGACGCUGAGGAGCGAAAGCGUGGGGAGCGAACAGGAUUAGAUACCGUAG